CACGAUACUCAAAACUGUAAAAUCCGUGGUAGAAAAGAGGUUGAACUGAAGAAACUAAGACAGUCAUUACAGCAAAAAGAAGUCCAAGGCAAAAGAAAAUCUCUGCAGUUUCAGGUUUAGGAAUAAGUUAGUGCUAAAAGCUUGCUUGGUGGUUAAAAGCUGCGGGUGUCAAAGUCUGUACUCAGACGUAUGCGGUUAAUCAUGUUGGUUUCUUGAGAUUAAGAUUGAAGAGUUAAUGAACAUUCUAAAAACUAUUC
rnacentral:lncRNA from 1 species